CAGUCGAGGGGCAUCAGGAAGAAAGCUUGCUUUCUUUGCUGGCGACCGGCGCACGGGUGAGUAACACGUAUCCAACCUGCCCUUUACUCGGGGAUAGCCUUUCGAAAGAAAGAUUAAUACCCGAUAGCAUAAUGAUUCCGCAUGGUUUCAUUAUUAAAGGAUUCCGGUAAAGGAUGGGGAUGCGUUCCAUUAGGUUGUUGGUGAGGUAACGGCUCACCAAGCCUUCGAUGGAUAGGGGUUCUGAGAGGAAGGUCCCCCACAUUGGAACUGAGACACGGUCCAAACUCAUACGGGAGGCAGCAGUGAGGAAUAUUGGUCAAUGGGCGCUAGCCUGAACCAGCCAAGUAGCGUGAAGGAUGAAGGCUCUAUGGGUCGUAAACUUCUUUUAUAUAAGAAUAAAGUGCAGUAUGUAUACUGUUUKGUAUGUAUUAUAUGAAUAAGGAUCGGCUAACUCCGUGCCAGCAGCCGCGGUAAUACGGAGGAUCCGAGCGUUAUCCGGAUUUAUUGGGUUUAAAGGGAGCGUAGGUGGACUGGUAAGUCAGUUGUGAAAGUUUGCGGCUCAACCGUAAAAUUGCAGUUGAUACUGUCAGUCUUGAGUACAGUAGAGGUGGGCGGAAUUCGUGGUGUAGCGGUGAAAUGCUUAGAUAUCACGAAGAACUCCGAUUGCGAAGGCAGCUCACUGGACUGCAACUGACACUGAUGCUCGAAAGUGUGGGUAUCAAACAGGAUUAGAUACCCUGGUAGUCCACACAGUAAACGAUGAAUACUCGCUGUUUGCGAUAUACAGUAAGCGGCCAAGCGAAAGCAUUAAGUAUUCCACCUGGGGAGUACGCCGGCAACGGUGAAACUCAAAGGAAUUGACGGGGGCCCGCACAAGCGGAGGAACAUGUGGUUUAAUUCGAUGAUACGCGAGGAACCUUACCCGGGCUUAAAUUGCAGUGGAAUGAUGUGGAAACAUGUCAGUGAGCAAUCACCGCUGUGAAGGUGCUGCAUGGUUGUCGUCAGCUCGUGCCGUGAGGUGUCGGCUUAAGUGCCAUAACGAGCGCAACCCUUAUCUUCAGUUACUAACAGGUCAUGCUGAGGACUCUGGAGAGACUGCCGUCGUAAGAUGUGAGGAAGGUGGGGAUGACGUCAAAUCAGCACGGCCCUUACGUCCGGGGCUACACACGUGUUACAAUGGGGGGUACAGAAGGCAGCUAGCGGGUGACCGUAUGCUAAUCCCAAAAUCCUCUCUCAGUUCGGAUCGAAGUCUGCAACCCGACUUCGUGAAGCUGGAUUCGCUAGUAAUCGCGCAUCAGCCACGGCGCGGUGAAUACGUUCCCGGGCCUUGUACACACCGCCCGUCAAGCCAUGGGAGCCGGGGGUACCUGAAGUACGUAACCGCAAGGAU
rnacentral:rRNA from 1 species